AUGUACUUGCCUGUACAUUCCGGUUCCUGCGCGCCGUGCGCCUUGCCCAGUGUCCGCUCGCUACGGUUCUUCAGCC
rfam:Thiobacillus sp. SCN 63-57 ABT23_C0017, whole genome shotgun sequence.